UGAUUCAACUCAGAUUUUGCUUUAUUUCUAUUCUCUUCUGAAACGUAGUGAAUGAAUAUUUUUUUCAAGUUGAGCACUCUACAUUAUAAUAAAUUUCAAGAUGAUGUUGAACUGUUGAUGAGGUUAGGUUUAGUCAAUGUUGAAUUAAAUUAAUGGACAUAUUGCUUCCAGGACUACGUUCACCAAAUCUUUGGCAACUUUUUUAUGUUUGUCAUUACUUCUUUGAUCAUUAAAAAACUUUGAUUUCUUUCAAAAGCAAAUCAUUGCCUUUGAAAGAGCAUGUUUAUAGUGAUCGAUUGGAAUAUUCAAAUCAUGUACUGAUAAAAAAAUCAGCACUGGUUCCCAAUAAAUAGUGAAGAGUCCAAUUAGUCUUGUCGUUUCAACCAAUUUCACCUACAAAUUAAAUAAUGGAUGGAAAAAUGAAAUCUGCGUAGCGAAAUUGGUGAAGUAUUUUCAAAACUAAUCAGCUAUUGCAGAGUAAAGAAACAGCUGAAAAAAUAAAAGAUGGAAUGAUAUUUCAAGAAAUCAUUGAUGCUGGUUUGGAGUUUUUGAACUCUUUGGAAAUUGAAACACAACAAAAAUCAAGUUGGAAUUGUCUCCUACUGGAUAUCCAUUUCUCAGCGUAUUCUUGACGAUAAAAUGCUUGUUGAAUUGAUAAUUUCAGAAUUUCCUUAUUUUUUUCAUGUUAACAAUUUCAACAUUCGGGAUAACUUUCAAACUGAUAUUUUUUUACCCACUGAAUUUUUUUCUUUAAUUAGUCAAUACGCAGAUUGAAUUGUAUAAUAUUGAAUAUAAACAAAUUGUUACUUGAUUAUCAAAUUUAUUUUGCAAUGAUGAUCCGUUAUGAUUUAUACAUACAUAUAUAAUUAUUAUAUACAUAAAUAUCAUAUAUAUUAUGUAUAAGUAAUGGCGAUACUGCAAUUUUUUCAUCGAAUUGAUAUGGUAUCGCUCAGUUCAAUGUCCUUCUUUGCCCUGUAUAAACAAACAUAUUCUCGGGAUAUGUUUUUGAUCAAUGAUAUAACUUUUAUCCAAAAGUUUUUUCAUAUUUCGGCUAAUAACGGUUCUGUUGGACUUCCUGUAUAUUGUAACUGAAGAUCUAGAAAAUAUUUUCUGCAAACUUUAUGUUUUCAAGACCCUCAUCAUCAGUUUAUGUUCUGCUUAAUGUUUUGACAUACCCUUUGUUUUGUUGAAUUUUUGUUUGGAACUUUUACACAGAAUAAAAUACAAAUUUUGUGGUGGAAAUAUGUCGGAUAUCAAAUAUGAAAUAAAGUUAAUGGUAAAUUCCUCAAAUGUAAUUGAGAUGACAAUUAGAAUAAUAUGAAAACAUAUCAAUUUAAUCGAAAGAGUAUGACUAUGUCAAUUUCGUAAUUAUUUUCAAUUAUGUUCCGAUCAAUAUUUUUCUUCUUCACAGGAUGAAGAACCUUUAUGAGAUAAUAUGCGUUAUCUUCUAGUGAAAAGGAAUUGGAAGAAAUUUGCGAGUGAAAUAAAUGUUUGAGCGUA